rnacentral:rRNA from 1 species
CAGUCGCCACGGUAAUACGAAGGGGGCUAGCGUUGUUCGGAUUUACUGGGCGUAAAGCGCACGUAGGCGGACCUUUAAGUCAGGGGUGAAAUCCCGGGGCUCAACCCCGGAACUGCCUUUGAUACUGGAAGUCUUGAGUACGGUAGAGGUGAGUGGAAUUCCGAGUGUAGAGGUGAAAUUCGUAGAUAUUCGGAGGGACACCAGUGGCGAAGGCGGCUCACUGGACCAUUACUGACGCUGAGGUGCGAAAGCGUGGGGAGCAAACAGGAUUAGAUACCCCCGUAGUCCCUGUCUCUUAUAC